AUCGGUCGAUUUCGAAAU
rnacentral:tRNA from 1 species